GAGGACAGUGAUAGACAUAAGGAGGAAAUAUGUUGAAUGAAAGGACUUCUGAUACCAUGGAGAGUAUAAAAUGUUGUUCCUGACUCUCACAACACAUUUUUAUGAAAUAUUCUUGAAUCAGACUUUGCAGGACUGAUCCUCUGGGGUGAGAUUUAUUUGAUUAAUGUUGUAAAAUGCACAUUAAGAGCUUUAAUAAAGAGAGCCCAGUACAUUCUAUACAAUGUAUUUGAUGUCUUUGUUUGUCUACUUAAAAAAUGUUCCCACCAAAAUGUUCCUUUAUUUAUUUAGGAUUGUUAUAAUAAUAAUUUUUUCAGAUUUGUUAAUCCUCCAUUGAGAUAAGCUAUAAGUGUUUAAGCUAAUAUUUAUGGAUGCAGUUAUUUGUUAUGAGGCCAAAGUAUUUAUGAACAGCUUACUGACAUUUACUAUUAAAUGUUUCCUAAAUGGUGAGCUGACUAUUAACAGAUACCUUAUAUGAUUUAUUGAAGGACAGUCCUGGAAUUUCCCAGACACUUCCCAGAAAGGGUGUGGCGAUUUGCACAAUUUGGUUGCAUGUUAGCUCUUCUGUUAUGUCUAUCUUACAUACAGGUAGGACUGGCUGUGACUGGUAACCUGCUUUACUGUAAUCCAAUGUGAUCAUAGGCCAUUUCAAAGAAAGUGUGGUUAGGAGGACUGGGGAUUCUAAAAUCCAAUGGGUGAAAAUCCAGCUGAGGUUGUUUCACACCUCAAGAAAACGUUCUCCAGCAUUGGCUUGUCAAACUGAAGAAUCUUCCUUAAAAUCACACUUCCGCAAGCCUGAAACCACUCAGUGUGAAACAAAGUAAAGAGGACCUUGGGUUUAUCAUCUCUAAGAAGAUUCAUGAAUCCAUCUAUGGAUUGGAGUCAGAGGUUGCAGCUCUUGCUCUUCUCACUCCUCUGUCUCACUGGCAGCUCCAAGGCAGUGGGAGAGCUCUGUGUGGACAACGGACGAGAGACUGAGCAGGUCUUUUCAGUUUCCGGUGAUGCUGCCAUGUUGACAUCCACCCUGGUGGACCUCAAUGGGUUCAACUAA
rnacentral:lncRNA from 8 species